rnacentral:tRNA from 1 species
GAGGGGAUGCCGGAGUGGUCAAACGGGCCAGGCUUAGGACCUGGUGGCUCUUGCCUACGGGGGUUCGAAUCCUCCUCCCCUCA